GGAAACUUAAACCGUAAAUAUAAUUGCAACUCGUAAAAGGCAAAAAGUGGGGAAAACAAUAACAUGUAUCGUUGAUAAGGGAAUCCGAAAACCAUAGUAAAUGAGCAUAUAUAUAUGCUCAUAUCUAGUGAAAAAAUCCGCAGUUCCACGGCCACUCAUGUUAUAAACUCUGAGCUAUCUCUUCUCUUAUGAGCUUAAUUUCAUCCACGACCCACCUACAUAACCAUCCCACCAUCGAU
rnacentral:misc_RNA from 1 species